rnacentral:tRNA from 2 species
GGCCCAUUCGUCUAAAGGUUAGGACGCAGCCCUCUCAAGGCUGUGAUAGCGGUUCGAUUCCGCUAUGGGCUA